rnacentral:lncRNA from 1 species
UCACUUGAGCCUCUUCACCUAGGAGUACCAUCGAGAACUUCCACAACGGUUUCUGAGCCUAUGGUGCAUUAGGCAUAAAGCAUGCACCUAUCUUGCACCGAAACUAAUACUAUCUCCAACUGGACUGAAGCCAAGAUUCCGCAUGAGCCUCUUCACCAAGGAGUACCAUCGCAUGUGUCAAAAAUAGUUUCUUAGCCUAUGUUCCACGCAAACCGUGCUCCUAUCUUGCAUCAGGAGUAGCACUAUCUCCAAACAGACCAUACCGAGCUUCCAUUUGAGUCUAUUCUCCUAGGAGUACCAUCGGGUGCGUCCAAAAUGGUUUCUUAGCCUAUGGUGCAUUAGGAACAAACCGUACACCUAUCUUGCACCAAAACUAACACUGUCUCCAAAUGGACCGAAGGGAAAUUCCAUAUGACACACCUCAUCAAGGAGUUCUAUCGGGUGCGUCCAAAUUGAUUUCUAAGUAAAUGGUACGUACCAUGCAAACCGUGCACCUAUUUUACAUCAAGAUUAGCACUAUCUCCAAACAGACCAAACUAAGCUUCCACUUGAGCCUCUUCACCUAGGAGUACCCUCAGGUGUGUCCAAAAUGAUUUUGGAGCCUAUGGUUCAUUUGGUGCAAACCGUGCAGUGCACCUUUAUUACACCAAAACUAACAUUGUCUCUAAAUAGACCGAAGCGAGACUCCAUAUGACACACAUUAUCUAAGAGUUUCAUUGGGUGCAUCUAAAUUGAUUUCCAAGCCUAUGGUAGUUUCCAUACAAACCGUGCACCUAUCUUGCAUCAAGAUUAGCACAAUCUCAAAACACACCGAACCAAGCUUGCACUUGAGCCUCUUCACCUAGGAGUAUCAUUCGGUGCUUCCACAAUAAUUUAUGAGAUUAUGGUGCAUUAGGCGCAAACCAUGCACCUAUCUUCUAGUGAAACUAACAUUGUCUCCAAAUGGACCGAAGCGAGAUUACAUAUGACACAUGUCAUCUAGCAGUUCCAUCGGGUGCGUCCAAAUUGAUUUCCUAGCAUAUGGUAUGUUCCAUGCAAACCGUGCAACUAUCUUGUAUCAAGAUUUGAAUUGUCUCCAAAUAGACAAAACCGAGGUUCCACUUGAGCCUCUUCACCUAGGAGUACUAUUGAGUGCAUCAAAAAUGGUUUCUUAGACCAUGCAUUAGGUGCAAACCAUGCACCUAUGUUGCAUCGAAACUAACACUAUAUCCAAAGGGACCAAAGUGAGAUUCCAUAUGACACACAUCAUCUAGGAGUUCUAUCAGGUGCAUCCAAAUUGAUUUUCGAGUAUAUGGUACGUUCC